CUCAAUGCACCCCUUAAACACACUCAAAGCACCCCUUACAGACACACACUUCAUCCCUUACAUACACAGAAACACACCUUGCAGCCCUUACACAUACAAACACAGAUUCACACAAUGCAUUCCUUACACACAAAUCAGGACAUCCCCUACACACUCCAUCCCCUGUGAACAAACUCAUUGGUGGAAAAUGAAGGUGGACCCUGGGACCCAGACCUUGAGCUGUGUAAAGGGCCCCCAAAAAAUGGAGCUGCUUCUCGUUCUCCCAGAACAUUGAUUUGUGUGACCACAGUUACAAACAGCCUCCAGAGAUCCUGUUAUACACCAGACCAGUGGAGCCAGACUGCAGCUAGAGCCCAUCAUCAUCCUCAUCUGCUU